UUUGAACCAUCACUCGACUCCU
rnacentral:miRNA from 2 species